rnacentral:rRNA from 1 species
AGUGAACGCUGGCGGUAGGCCUAACACAUGCAAGUCGAACGGCAGCACAGUAAGAGCUUGCUCUUACGGGAGGCGAGUGGCGGACGGGUGAGGAAUACAUCGGAAUCUACUUUUUCGUGGAGGAUAACGUAGGGAAACUUACGCUAAUACCGCAUACGACCUACGGGUGAAAGCAGGGGAUCUUCGGACCUUGCGCGAUUGAAUGAGCCGAUGUCGGAUUAGCUAGUUGGCGGGGUAAAGGCCCACCAAGGCGACGAUCCGUAGCUGGUCUGAGAGGAUGAUCAGCCACACUGGAACUGAGACACGGUCCAGACUCCUACGGGAGGCAGCAGUGGGGAAUAUUGGACAAUGGGCGCAAGCCUGAUCCAGCCAUACCACGUGGGUGAAGAAGGCCUUCGGGUUGUAAAGCCCUUUUGUUGGGAAAGAAAAGCAGCAGGUUAAUACCCCGCUGUUCUGACGGUACCCAAAGAAUAAGCACCGGCUAACUUCGUG